ACACGCUCAACAACAUUUCCUCCCAUGCCCUCAAGAAACCCAAUAGACAUCUCAUAAUCAAAUCAAAGAGUGAAUGCAGCAAAUGAAACGGUGGAAGCAUUGAAUAUGAAUGAGAAUUGUAUAAGACCAUUGGGUAUGGGAGGUAUCCAAAGGUGUGGUGGAUGCUCCUUCUCUAUUUCUUUUUUAUUAUUUAUUUGGUUUAAUUAAUUAAUCGGUUAUGUUUUUUUUUCUUGAUUGGAACUCCCCAUUCAAUAGCCUCAAUUAACUACAUCAUUGAUGACCACCUUAACAUCUUUGUUUCGUUUUCUCUUUUGGAAAUGGAAAAUCAGUCUGACCGGACAAGAACAGGCAUAACCUCCAACCUCACCAUUCAUCCUCUUUUCUUUGACCAUCAGAACAGGUAGAUCGGGAUAUGAAGCAGUUUCUUAAAGAUGGAGCUACUGAUUGGGAUGCUGUUAUUGAUGCUGAUCAUAUGGAAGCUACCGGUUUAUACUUUGUAAGGUGCUCGAUGAAAUGUCUGUGUGAAAGGUCUCCUGGGAAUCAGCAGCGACGGCCAGAGCCAGUGCAGGAGAUGGAGCCGGAGUGGCAGCAGAAGAGCCGAAAGGACGAUGUUGUUUAUUUUCUUUGUAAAGAUCGACAGCUUGAACCUGCACACUUCAUCGAAGUCGCUCUCGCAUCAUUAGAAGGUCUUUUUUUAAGAGAUGUGAUUGAAAAGCUUAAUGUUCUUAGAGGAAAUGGCAUGGCUUCAAUGUAGUUUAUCGGGGAACUUUCUUAUUUGUUAAUUUAAUUCGCAUCACCCUACCGAACUCUAAAGCCUACAUUUGAAUCAUCGUGCUUCAUUUGUGCACCCAUGUAAGUCUGCUCUAUAAAUAAAGUUGUUUUAUUUAAUACCCAAUGUAGUUUUCCAACUUCCAAAGCAAGUAGUUCAAAUAUUAUGGUGCUAUACUGACUGAUAAAAAAAAUGUUUGGUUUAGAUUCCUGUAUAUGGUUGAUGAUGAAUUGAGGAUAUGAUGUGAAACCCGUGAUUGGGAUCAUUUAUUUUUUUUUUGAACGGCGAUUGGGAUCAUUUAUUAAACGAGCUUAUUUUUAGGCUCAAGCUUGUUUAAGCUCGGCUCAACUCAAGCUUUUAGUGAGCCGCCCUCCAGUAGUCAACAGGUAGUUUGGAUCAUUUACACCCGUACUAUUGAUUCUCACAUAGUUCGGUCUGGAUUUGCAGGGAACAAAGUGGAAAAGCUUUGUGAUCUUGCAAACAUCACAGUGAAUAAGCACUAUGUGUAUGGUGACAACAGCGCUUAGGCCCGGGAGGUGUUCGUAUUGGUAUGUUUUUAACUAUGACCAGGUGAUUUCCGUUAAUUUUCUUUUGCAAAGUCUCCAAUAUGCACCUCAUUUAACGGGUCAAUUCAGGCUGUAUUUUGUGAUUUUAUUUGAUAUAUGUAAAAAAAAAAAACGUAGCAAAAUAUAAAAUGGGUACAAGUUAAACGGGUCAAAAUUAGUCUAACUUGUAUUCAAAUUCGUAUAACGUCCUAAAUUGUUCUAUUUAAAAGAGAUUAGAUUCAUAGAUGUCAAUAGUGGUAAUAGCGUCCACUAUAGCGCGUGCCAUAACGUUGCGAGGUAUUGGCGCUAUUCGCUGGUUAGCGACUAAAUAGCUGAAGAAUAGCGAAUUUUAGAGGCUUUUUAAUUUUUUAUAAAAAUUUAGUUUAUUUGUUUAGAUGAUAAAGAUGGUGUAUUUUCACUAUUUUAGGGUAUUUUUAGCACUUUAAUACCUGAAAUAGCGUAUUUUAACUAUUUAUACAUGAAAAUCACUUUUUUUUUACCCCUACAUCGCUAAGCAUUAAAUAGCAGGCGGGUAUUGGAAAAGCAUGUUUAUCAUUUGGGAAAAGGUAACUUGGAUACUAAUAAAAAACAAAUGAAUUCGAAAAGAAGUUAUGUUUUGUUGGUUGGAGAUGUACAAAUCUCCCUUGCAGGUUAGUAUGAAUUAUAGCUAGCAAAAGAUUAGGAAUAAAAAGGUAAUGGGUUUAAAAAUAUGUAAAUUUGGUAGCUAAUCUAAACUGUACAUGGGCCCGGCACAAGUUAGCAUAGCUUACGUUGGGUUGGGUUUUACUACUCUGCGGACAUUAUGCCUAUCGCCCCUGCACUCCUGCUCAUAACCGAAUCAAAGAGUCUCCUCUCAGUUCUGACGCCAUUUUCAAACAGGUUUUCUUUUCUUUCUAAAAAAUUAGCGAUACGGGUUAGUUUGCUACCUAAUUGUUGUUUAGGACUUCUGAGAUAGUGAAAUGAAAUAUAUACUCUGGCUCUUCAAUCGCUACAUCAACUUAGAUGCUUUUAGCCUCCGGUUUUGUGCAUUAUGUGUAUCGAGACGUAGGAUUUAGGUUAAGGACUUUUAGGAGGAUGAUACGAUUUUGUAUUAGAUCCUUGUUUUAAGAGCUGAAGUUUUUCGUGGCUUAUGCGUGUUAUCGCUUGCAUGAGGUGUUGUCUGUCACUAUUGUACGUUUUUAGUUGUUUGGUAGCUUACUAAGAAUAUUUUUAAUACACUACAUUUUUCUGUUGCUUUUUGAGUGGCUAUGUGCUUAUGUAUGUUUUUUUAUUCGACUCUUAUGUCCGGAUAUGGUUUUGAACUUACACGUUUUUUAGCCUUAGGUUUUGUGCUUGCUUCAAAUUAAAUGAGUUGAUUUGUAAGAAUAAUAGGAGAUAAACCUGUAUGGCAAAAUGUGUUUGGAUUGGUACUUAUGACUCCACAUACUUAAAUAAUUUUUAUUUAUUAACCGUUAUUAUGAUCAGAUCUUAUAACUGAAUUGUCUGAUUAAAAAGUUUAAGCAGAGUCAUGCAGGCCUAUUUAACCUCUGCAUAGUGGUGCUUGUUGCUUGCUAUAAACAGCAAGCUCAUCAUUGAAAAUCUUACGAAGUUCAAGAUCAUUGAGAGACUGGCCACUUCUUAUGUGCUGUCUUCUGGUCUUCCCACUUGCUGCAUGCAUCAUUGAGAAAUUUGCAUGGACCAAACGUAUAGCCGACUCUGCAUUAUAAUAACUACAAUAGCCAUUCUGUAUCCGGUUUUCAUGAUCAUGAGUUGGUUGCAGGCAGCAUGAAGUUGAAGAAUUAGUUGGGACCUGUGUGCAGGGUGGUCCAUCAUGGAAAGGUCAAUCACUGGAAGGCUGGUAGGAACAAGUGUAGGGUUUGGUCGCUCGACAACGCCAGCGCUGGCGACAGGCAAGGAAUUGUCUUCAAGUGGGUUUCGGAUUGAACACGUUAGCUUAACGGAUUGUGUUCAAGUUGUUGACCCAUGUUAACCCAUUUAACUUUAUAUGUAAUUAAAAAAAAUCAUUUAGUCACUUAAACUAAUUGGGUAAUUUAUUUCAAUCAAGUUUUAAAGAUAAAAAGAAAUGAGCAUCAAGCUUCAAGGUUCUAUUACA